AGAUGGGAGGGCUGAGACAUCUAUUGCCCCAUUGAUUGCCAGUGCUGACUUGGCUGAUAUGGCUGGCUAGGCAGGGGUCCCAGUUUUCCUUCAUUGUUCCAUGUACAUCCCUCUCAAAUUUGCAUUCCCAGUGGAAGAGGAUGAUCAACCCUAUAGAGGACCACCCCUAUAGAGGACUGAGGACCAUUUUCUCAGUCAAGGGUAUAGGAGUAGCUGUGCUCCCACUUACAGCCUCCAAGCAAGCCCUUACCCUUUACUUUUCCCUGUAGAUUUAUUCCCAAAUGAUCAUUAGAAAAAGUAAACUUUAAAGAAAUUGACUACUGUGUUU
rnacentral:sRNA from 1 species